rnacentral:rRNA from 1 species
AACGAACGCUGGCGGCAGGCCUAACACAUGCAAGUCGAACGCCGUAGCAAUACGGAGUGGCAGACGGGUGAGUAACACGUGGGAACGUACCCUUCGGUUCGGGAUAACUCAGGGAAACUUGAGCUAAUACCGGAUACGUCCGAGAGGAGAAAGAUUUAUUGCCGAGGGAUCGGCCCGCGUCUGAUUAGCUUGUUGGUGAGGUAACGGCUCACCAAGGCGACGAUCAGUAGCUGGUCGAGAGGAUGAUCAGCCACAUUGGGACUGAGACACGGCCCAAACUCCUACGGGAGGCAGCAGUGGGGAAUAUUGGACAAUGGGCGCAAGCCUGAUCCAGCCAUGCCGCGUGAGUGAUGAAGGCCCUAGGGUUGU